UAAUGUAUCGGAACGUGCCCAGUCGUGGGGGAUAACUGCUCGAAAGAGCAGCUAAUACCGCAUACGACCUGAGGGUGAAAGCGGGGGAUCGCAAGACCUCGCGCGAUUGGAGCGGCCGAUAUCAGAUUAGGUAGUUGGUGAGGUAAAGGCUCACCGAGCCGACGAUCUGUAGCUGGUCUGAGAGGACGACCAGCCACACUGGGACUGAGACACGGCCCAG
rnacentral:rRNA from 1 species